UACGGAAGGCAGCAGUGGGGAAUAUUGCACAAUGGGCGAAAGCCUGAUGCAGCUAUGCCGCGUGUAUGAAGAAGGCCUUAGGGUUGUAAAGUACUUUCAUCGGGGAGGAAAAACAAAACUAAUAAUUUUAUUUCUUGACGUUACCCGAAAAAGAAGCACCGGCUAACUCCGUGCCAGCAGCCGCGGUAAUACGGAGGGUGCUAGCGUUAAUCAGAAUUACUGGGCGUAAAGAGCACGUAGGUGGUUUUUUUAAGUCAGAUGUGAAAUCCCUGGGCUUAACCUAGGAACUGCAUUUUGAAACUGAAAUACUAGAGUAUCGUAGAGGGAGGUAGAAUUCUAGGUGUAGCGGUGAAAUGCGUAGAUAUCUGGAGGAAUACCUGUGGCGAAAGCGGCCUCCUAAACGAAUACUGACACUGAGGUGCGAAAGCGUGGGGAGC
rnacentral:rRNA from 1 species